rnacentral:lncRNA from 1 species
CUCCUUCUUGAGGAUCUCUUUAAGAGGCUGCAUUCCAAUGGCCUAGCCCCCAAAGGUAAGUGUCAACAUCUUGGGUCUUUCGAUUAUAAGGCCGGCUGUACUGAUCUCGAUGUUGGUGCAAGCAUAGUGCUUUCUCUGAGGGAACCAUCUGGCUGUCCUAAAGAGAAGAAGGAAAAGAAGAGGAAGAAGAUUGUUUUCUCUCCUCCUCCUGAGGCAGUCGAAGCCACUGUUGCUAAAGUUGGGGUCGCCACAGCUUAGGUUGUUGAGCCUAAAGUGGUGG